AACGAACGCUGGCGGCAUGCCUAACACAUGCAAGUCGAACGAGACCUUCGGGUCUAGUGGCGCACGGGUGCGUAACGCGUGGGAACCUGCCCUUAGGUUCGGAAUAACUCCCCGAAAGGGGUGCUAAUACCGGAUAAUGUCUUCGGACCAAAGAUUUAUCGCCUUUGGAUGGGCCCGCGUUGGAUUAGCUAGUUGGUAGGGUAAAAGCCUACCACGGCGACGCUCCAUAGCUGGUCUGAGAGGAUGAUCAGCCACACUGGGACUGAGACACGGCCCAGACUCCUACGGGAGGCAGGAGUGGGGAAUAUUGGACAAUGGGCGAAAGCCUGAUGCAGCAAUGCCGCGUGAGUGAUGAAGGCCUUAGGGUUGUAAAGCUCUUUUACCCGGGAUGAUAAUGACAGUACCGGGAGAAUAAGCGCCGGCUAACUCCGUG
rnacentral:rRNA from 1 species